rnacentral:tRNA from 1 species
GGUAGUGUGGCUGAGUGGUCUAAGGCGCUGGAUUGAGGUUCCAGUCUUCGGAGUUGUGGGUUCGAAUCCCACAGCCG